UCGUGGAGUGAUCUGUCUGGUUAAUUCCGAUAACGGACGAGACGAUUGCCUGCAUAAUAGGUGCACUCGCGGCUUUGUCUGCGGGUACUUUGCAUCUUCUAUGAGGGACUAUCGGUGUCUAGCCGCUUGGAAGCAAGUCGCAAUAUCA
rnacentral:rRNA from 1 species